GAUGAACGCUGGCGGCGUGCCUAAUACAUGCCAGUCGAGCGAACAGACGAGGAGCUUGCUCCUUUGACGUUAGCGGCGGACGGGUGAGUAACACGUGGGUAACCUACCUAUAAGACUGGGAUAACUUCGGGAAACCGGAGCUAAUACCGGAUAAUAUUUCGAACCGCAUGGUUCGAUAGUGAAAGAUGGCUCUGCUAUCACUUAUAGAUGGACCUGCGCCGUAUUAGCUAGUUGGUAAGGUAACGGCUUACCAAGGCAACGAUACGUAGCCGACCUGAGAGGGUGAUCGGCCACACUGGAACUGAGACACGGUCCAGACUCCUACGGGAGGCAGCAGUAGGGAAUCUUCCGCAAUGGGCGAAAGCCUGACGGAGCAACGCCGCGUGAGUGAUGAAGGUCUUCGGAUCGUAAAACUCUGUUAUUAGGGAAGAACAAACGUGUAAGUAACUGUGCACGUCUUGACGGUACCUAAUCAGAAAGCCACGGCUAACUACGU
rnacentral:rRNA from 1 species